rnacentral:rRNA from 1 species
GUAGGUGGCAAGCGUUGUCCGGAAUUAUUGGGCGUAAAGCGCGCGCAGGCGGUCCUUUAAGGUCUGAUGUGAAAGCCCACGGGCUCAACCGUGGAGGGUCAUUGGAAACUGGGGGACUUGAGUACAGAAGAGGAAAGCGGAAUUCCAAGUGUAGCGGUGAAAUGCGUAGAGAUUUGGAGGAACACCAGUGGCGAAGGCGGCUUUCUGGUCUGUAACUGACGCUGAGGCGCGAAAGCGCGGGGAGCAAACAGGAUUAGAUACCCUGGUAGUCCACGCCGUAAACGAUGAGUGCUAAGUGUUAGGGGGUUUCCGCCCCUUAGUGCUGCAGCUAACGCAUUAAGCACUCCGCCUGGGGAGUACGGCCGCAAAGGCUGA